GGAGUUAGCCGGUGCUUCUUCUGCGAGUAACGUCACAGCUAGCAGGUAUUAACUACUAACCUUUCCUCCUCGCUGAAAGUGCUUUACAACCCGAAGGCCUUCUUCACACACGCGGCAUGGCUGCAUCAGGGUUUCCCCCAUUGUGCAAUAUUCCCCACUGCUGCCUCCCGUAGGAGUCUGGGCCGUGUCUCAGUCCCAGUGUGGCUGAUCAUCCUCUCAGACCAGCUAGGGAUCGUUGCCUAGGUGAGCCAUUACCUCACCUACUAGCUAAUCCCACCUGGGCUUAUCCAUCAGCGCAAGGACCGAAGUUCCCCUGCUUUCCCCCGUAGGGCGUAUGCGGUAUUAGCAGUCGUUUCCAACUGUUAUCCCCACAAAUGGGCAAAUUCCCAGGCAUUACUCACCCGUCCGCCGCUCGUCAUCUUCAAAAGCAAGCUUUUGAAAUGUUACCGCUCGACUUGCAUGUGUUAGGCCUGCCGCCAGCGUUCAAUCUGAGCCAGAAUCAAACUCUGA
rnacentral:rRNA from 1 species